UACGGAGGGUGCAAGCGUUAUCCGGAUUCACUGGGUUUGAAGGGUGCGUAGGUGGGCUGGUAAGUCAGUGGUGAAAUCUCCAGGCUUAACUUGGAAACUGCCAUUGAUACUAUCAGUCUUGAAUACCGUGGAGGUCAGCGGAAUAUGUCAUGUAGCGGUGAAAUGCUUAGAUAUGACAUAGAACACCAAUUGCGAAGGCAGCUGGCUACACGAAUAUUGACACUGAUGCACGAAAGCGUGGGGAUCAAACAGG
rnacentral:rRNA from 1 species